rnacentral:rRNA from 1 species
UCUACCCGCAACAGGAGGAUAGCUCCCCGAAAGGGGAAUUAACCCUCCAUGAGAUCACACGAGGGCAUCUGAGAGUGAUUAAACUACAAGGGGUUGUGGAUGAGCAUGCGUCUGAUUAGCUAGUUGGCAGUGUAACGGACUACCAAGGCGAUGAUCAGUAGGGGAACUGAGAGGUUGAUCCCCCACACUGGCACUGAGAUACGGGCCAGACUCCUACGGGAGGCAGCAGUAGGGAAUAUUGGUCAAUGGGUGAGAGCCUGAACCAGCCAUGCCGCGUGCAGGAAGAAGGCCUUCUGGGUUGUAAACUGCUUUUGCCGGGGGAUAAAAGACCCUUGCGAGGGAAAUUGAAGGUACCUGGUGAAUAAGCCACGGCUAACUACGUGCCAGCAGCCGCGGUAAUACGUAGGUGGCAAGCGUUGUCCGGAUUUAUUGGGUUUAAAGGGUGCGUAGGCGGUUGAUUAAGUCAGUUGUGAAAUACGGCAGCUUAACUGUCGAGGUGCAAUUGAUACUGGUUGACUUGAGUACAGACGAGGUAGGCGGAAUUGACGGUGUAGCGGUGAAAUGCAUAGAUAUCGUCAAGAACACCGAUAGCGAAGGCAGCUUACUAGACUGUAACUGACGCUGAGGCACGAAAGUGUGGGGAUCAAACAGGAUUAGAUACCCUGGUAGUCC